rnacentral:rRNA from 1 species
GACAUCCAGAGAACUUAGCAGAGAUGCUUUGGUGCCUUCGGGAACUCUGAGACAGGUGCUGCAUGGCUGUCGUCAGCUCGUGUUGUGAAAUGUUGGGUUAAGUCCCGCAACGAGCGCAACCCUUAUCCUUUGUUGCCAGCGGUUCGGCCGGGAACUCAAAGGAGACUGCCGGUGAUAAACCGGAGGAAGGUGGGAUGACGUCAAGUCAUCAUGGCCCUUACGGCCAGGGCUACACACGUGCUACAAUGGCGCAUACAAAGAGAAGCGACCUCGCGAGAGCAAGCGGACCUCAUAAAGUGCGUCGUAGUCCGGAUUGGAGUCUGCAACUCGACUCCAUGAAGUCGGAAUCGCUAGUAAUCGUAGAUCAGAAUGCUACGGUGAAUACGUUCCCGGGCCUUGUACACACCGCCCGUCACACCAUGGGAGUGGGUUGCAAAAGAAGUAGGUAGCUUAACCUUCGGGAGGGCGCUUACCACUUUGUGAUUCAUGACUGGGGUGAAGUCGUAACAAGGUAGGCGUAGUGCU